rnacentral:rRNA from 1 species
CCUAGGGAGGCUGCAGUGGGGAAUAUUGGACAAUGGGCGAAAGCCUGAUCCAGCCAUGCCGCGUGUGUGAAGAAGGCCUUCGGGUUGUAAAGCACUUUCAGUGGGGAAGAAAGCCUUGGGGCUAAUACCCUCGAGGAAGGACAUCACCCACAGAAGAAGCACCGGCUAACUCCGUGCCAGCAGCCGCGGUAAUACGGAGGGUGCGAGCGUUAAUCGGAAUUACUGGGCGUAAAGCGCGCGUAGGCGGUCUGAUAAGCCGGUUGUGAAAGCCCCGGGCUCAACCUGGGAACGGCAUCCGGAACUGUCAGGCUAGAGUGCAGGAGAGGAAGGUAGAAUUCCCGGUGUAGCGGUGAAAUGCGUAGAGAUCGGGAGGAAUACCAGUGGCGAAGGCGGCCUUCUGGACUGACACUGACGCUGAGGUGCGAAAGCGUGGGUAGCAAACAGGAUUAGAUACCCUGGUAGUC